CCUACGGGUGGCAGCAGUGAGGAAUAUUGGUCAAUGGCCGGAAGGCUGAACCAGCCAAGCCGCGUGAAGGACGAAGGUGCCAAGCAUUGUAAACUUCUUUUGUCAAGGGACAAAAUCAGGCACGUGUGCCUGGUUGAGUGUACUUGAAGAAAAAGCAUCGGCUAACUCCGUGCCGGCAGCCGCGGUAAUACGGAGGAUGCGAGCGUUAUCCGGAUUUAUUGGGUUUAAAGGGUGCGUAGGCGGUCUGUUAAGUCAGCGGUAAAAGCCCGGGGCUAAACCCCGGCCAGCCGUUGAAACUGGCAGUCUUGAGUAGAGGAGAGGUAUGCGGAAUGCGCGGUGUAGCGGUGAAAUGCUUAGAUAUCGCGAAGAACUCCGAUUGCGAAGGCAGCAUACCGGCU
rnacentral:rRNA from 1 species